rnacentral:rRNA from 1 species
AUGCAGGCAAAGACGUCCGCCCUGGCCGCCGCCCGGGAGGCCGCCGCCGCGGCCAUCCACCACGAGGGCUGGAUGGUGCGCUACGGCCGGCGCAAGAUCGGUCGGUCUUUCUUCCACACCAGAUACUUCGUGCUGGAGAGCAAACUGCUCGCCUACUACAAGAAGAAGCCCAAGGACAGCAUGGUGCCGCUAAAGUCGCUGCUAAUCGACGGAAAUUGCAGGGUGGAGGAUAGAGGACUGAAAACACACCAUGGGCAGAUGAUUUAUGUCCUUUGCGUUUAUAACAAGAAAGAAAAGGAGCACCAAAUCACGAUGGGUGCGUAUGACAUUGAAGACGCACUGGCUUGGAAAAAGAAGAUAGAGCAGAUAAUCGAUCAGCAGCAGGACUCUAUGGCAGACAAAAACCGUAAGGCCUUUGCUUCGAUGGACUUCGAUACGGAACUUGGAGGGCAGUUUGCAUUCUCAGAUCAUGAUAGCGCAGCUGAAGAAGAAGAGGAGCGGCCCAUUUUGACUCGUAGGACGACUAUAGGGAACGGUCCCCCCGAAUCGAUACGCGACUGGACCAAUGAGCCUGAUAUUGGGUCAAAUCAGAAUGAGCCGAGUCAAUUUUCUUCCAAGAAGAAUUGGCGGCUACUUCGAUGCCAAAAUGGACUUCGCAUCUUCGAAGAACUUCUUGAAGUCGAUUACCUUGCAAGAAGCUGUAGCCGUGCUAUGAGGGCUGUCGGGGUAGUGGAAGCAACAUGUGAAGCUAUUUUUGGUCUAGUGAUGAGCAUGGACGUGACAAGAUAUGAGUGGGACUGUAGCUUUCGCUACGGAAGUUUAGUUGAAGAGGUUGAUGGCCACACUGCAAUAAUCUAUCACAAGUUACAGCUGCAUUGGUGUCCAAUGCUAGUUUGGCCCAGGGAUCUUUGUUAUGUCCGCUACUGGCGGCGGAAUGAUGAUGGAAGCUAUGUUGUUCUGUUUCGAUCUGUCGACCAUCCUAACUGUGGCCGGCAAAGAGGGUAUGUGAGGGCUUUCAUCGAGAGCGGUGGGUUCAAGAUUACUCCUCUCAAGUGUCGCAACGGACGGCCCCGUACCCAGGUCCAACACCUUAUGCAGAUCGAUCUCAAAGGAUGGCUCCUCAACUACUCCGCCUCCUUUCAGUACCAUACAUUGCUGCAAAUACAGAACUGUGUUGCCGGCCUGCGCGAGUACUUCUCACAGACAGAUGAAUGCCAUAUAGCUCCAAGGAUCCCUGUCAUGGAGAAAAUGUUCGAUCCGUCGGCGGAUCAGAAAAACCCGCAGCCUCGUGCAAUCGACAAGAUUAAACCAUUAGACAAAGACCAAAAAGAUGGUAGAAACAUGUCGAUCAUAGAGGAAGAAUCCGACGAGGACGAUGACUACCAAGUUCCUGAAGCUAACAUAGAGGAUGACUCCAACAAAUCUGACAACGACGCUAAGCCAGAAGAACCUCUGGAAAAGAUUGAUUUAUCAUGCUUUUCGGGCGUCCUUCAUCGUGACCCAGAUGAGAAAACCCGCAACUGUUGGACAGUACCCGACAGCACCCUCUUUAAAGUUCGCAGCAAGAACUUCCCCACUGAUAAAUCAAAGAUACCUGCAGCAAGUUAUCUCAUGGAGCUCGCAGCGAUCGACUGGUUUAAGGACACCAAGCGCAUGGACAAUGUUGGCAGGCAGAAAGGUUGUGUUGCUCAGCUUGCUGCUGAGAAAGGGAUGCACACAUUUGUUGCCAACAUACAAAUUCCUGGGUCGACCCAUUACAGCAUAGUGAUGUAUUUCGUCACAAAUACCAUGAAAAAGGGAUCGUUGCUGCAACGUUUCUUUGAUGGCGAUGAUGAAUUCCGCAAUAGCAGACUGAAGCUUAUACCGGCCGUUCCGAAGGGCUCUUGGAUAGUGCGGCAAAGUGUCGGAAGCACCCCUUGUUUGCUGGGAAAGGCCGUCGACUGCAGCUACAUACGCGCUCCGGGGUACUUGGAAGUGGAUGUUGACAUCGGUUCUUCUGCAGUAGCCAAUGGGGUUCUGGGGCUGGUGUUUGGUGUUGUCACAACAUUGGUAGUUGACAUGGCCUUCCUAAUACAGGCAAACACGUACGAGGAGCUCCCGGAGCAGGUGAUCGGCGCGGCUCGGCUGGCUCACGUCGAACCGGCGGCAGCAAUAGUUCCUGACCUUGAUAAUACCAACAGCGACAGUAAAGAUAGCAACAACGACGACAACAGCAACAACAACAACAGCAGCAGCAACAACAACAACGCGACUUCCUCGGAGGACGAUUCGUCCAAGAAAACCAACUGA